rnacentral:lncRNA from 1 species
AAUUUCCAAAGCCCUCUCUCCUUCCCUUUUUGCCCUAGUUUCUUGAAACUAACACUCGCCUCUCUCUUUCCCUUUUGGUGAAAUUUGUUUGUAGUCCAAACCCUAAAUUUUGAAAUCAAUCCAGCCUCUUCUCUCCAAAAGUCAGUUUCAAAGACCCGCAACCGGAAAGAAUUGCUUAUUCGCCACCAGUGAUUUCUGCUCGUUUCAUCCAGCGAUCGACGAAUUCUGCUCGUUUCAUACAGGUGAACAACGAAUUCUGCUCGCCUCAGCCAGUGGCAGAGGCGAUAUUUUCUGCCGGUGUUAUUGUACUUAUUUUUUGUGAAUGGGUAGUCCAUGAGGAUUGAGGACGCAUGAUGAUUCAAGAUUUUAUGCUUCUUAUUUCUUUAAUUGCUUUUAAUUUCUUUAUUAAAUGUUAAGACUUUAUGUUAGAUAAUGUUAUAACUUAUUUAUGGUUAGUGUUUUUGUUAUGA